rnacentral:lncRNA from 1 species
UAUUGUCGGUUGAAUUGGAACUCGCUCUGGUGUAGAUAUUGGUCUUGCUUCUCGUUCUGCCGCUCUGCUAGAUUCUCCCACUUCAUAUACCAUUAUCUCUAGACUAACUGUUCCCGUUUGUAAACUUGGAAUUACUAGUUGAGAUUCCUGUUUCAAUGUAUACUCAAUCACUAAGUUUACAUAAUUGGAAUAUAAUAGCGAAGCAAACUUCCCCAUCUUCUACUUAGCUCUCAUUUCU